rnacentral:rRNA from 1 species
GAUGAACGCUGGCGGCGUGCCUAAUACAUGCAAGUCGAGCGAACGGACGAGAAGCUUGCUUCUCUGAUGUUAGCGGCGGACGGGUGAGUAACACGUGGAUAACCUACCUAUAAGACUGGGAUAACUUCGGGAAACCGGAGCUAAUACCGGAUGAUAUUUUGAACCGCAUGGUUCAAAGGUGAAAGACGGUCUUGCUGUCACUUAUAGAUGGAUCCGCGCUGCAUUAGCUAGUUGGUAAGGUAACGGCUUACCAAGGCAACGAUGCAUAGCCGACCUGAGAGGGUGAUCGGCCACACUGGAACUGAGACACGGUCCAGACUCCUACGGAGGCAGCAGUAGGGAAUCUUCCGCAAUGGGCGAAAGCCUGACGGAGCAACGCCGCGUGAGUGAUGAAGGUCUUCGGAUCGUAAAUCUCUGUUAUUAGGGAAGAACAUAUGUGUAAGUAACUGUGCACAUCUUGACGGUACCUAAUCAGAAAGCCACGGCUAACUACGUG